rnacentral:siRNA from 1 species
CCAACACUACCUUCUGUUAAAU